CCUACGGGGGGCAGCAGUGGGGAAUAUUGGGCAAUGGGCGAAAGCCUGACCCAGCAACGCCGCGUGAGGGAAGAAGGUCUUCGGAUUGUAAACCUCUGUCCUUGGGGACGAAGGACGUGACGGUACCCAAGGAGGAAGCUCCGGCUAACUACGUGCCAGCAGCCGCGGUAAUACGUAGGGAGCGAGCGUUGUCCGGAAUUACUGGGCGUAAAGGGUGCGUAGGCGGCAUGGCAAGUCAGAUGUGAAAUCCCCGGGCUUAACCCGGGAGCUGCAUUUGAAACUGUCGUGCUUGAGUGCAGG
rnacentral:rRNA from 1 species